rnacentral:rRNA from 1 species
GAUGAACGCUGGCGGCGUGCCUAAUACAUGCAAGUCGAGCGAACAGACGAGGAGCUUGCUCCUCUGACGUUAGCGGCGGACGGGUGAGUAACACGUGGAUAACCUACCUAUAAGACUGGGAUAACUUCGGGAAACCGGAGCUAAUACCGGAUAACAUGUUGAACCGCAUGGUUCAACAGUGAAAGACGGUCUUGCUGUCACUUAUAGAUGGAUCCGCGCCGCAUUAGCUAGUUGGUAAGGUAACGGCUUAACAAGGCAACGAUGCGUAGCCGACCUGAGAGGGUGGUCGCCCACACGGGAUCUGAGACACGGUCGAGACUCCUGCGGGAGGCAGCAGUCGGGAAUCUUCCGCGAUGGGCGAAAGCCUGACGGAGCAACGCCGCGUGAGUGAAGAAGGUCUUCGGAUCGUAAAACUCUGUUAUUAGGGAAGAACAAAUGUGUAAGUAACUAUGAACGUAUUGACGGUACCUAAUCAGAAAGCCACGGCUAACUACGUG